rnacentral:rRNA from 1 species
CAGCCGCCACGGUAAUACAGAGGGUGCGAGCGUUAAUCGGAUUUACUUGGCGUAAAGCGUGCGUAGGCGGCUUUUUAAGUCGGAUGUGAAAUCCCUGAGCUUAACUUAGGAAUUGCAUUCGAUACUGGGAAGCUAGAGUAUGGGAGAGGAUGGUAGAAUUCCAGGUGUAGCGGUGAAAUGCGUAGAGAUCUGGAGGAAUACCGAUGGCGAAGGCAGCCAUCUGGCCUAAUACUGACGCUGAGGUACGAAAGCAUGGGGAGCAAACAGGAUUAGAUACCCCCGUAGUCCCUGUCUCUUAUAC